rnacentral:rRNA from 1 species
UGUGUAGGCGGUUUUGUAAGUUCGGUGUGAAAUCUCCCGGCUCAACUGGGAGGGUGCGCCGGAAACUGCAGAGCUUGAGCGUGGGAGAGGGAAGCGGAAUUCCUGGUGUAGCGGUGAAAUGCGUAGAUAUCAGGAGGAACACCUGCGGUGUAGACGGCUUCCUGGACCACUGCUGACGCUGAGACACGAAAGCGUGGGGAGCAAACA